rnacentral:rRNA from 1 species
GAUGAACGCUAGCUACAGGCUUAACACAUGCAAGUCGAGGGGCAGCGCAGUGUAGCAAUACAGUCGGGCGGCCGACCGGCGCACGGGUGCGUAACGCGUAUCCAACCUUCCCGUUACUCAGGGAUAGCCUUCCGAAAGGGAGAUUAAUACCUGAUGGUGUUGAAAUUCCGCAUGUUAUUCAACUAAAGAUUUAUCGGUAACGGAUGGGGAUGCGUGACAUUAGAUAGUAGGCGGGGUAACGGCCCACCUAGCCUUCGAUCAUUAGGGGUUCUGAGAGGAAGGUCCCCCACACUGGAACUGAGACACGGUCCAGACUCCUACGGGAGGCAGCAGUGAGGAAUAUUGGUCAAUGGGCGAGAGCCUGAACCAGCCAAGUAGCGUGAAGGAAGACUGCCCUAUGGGUUGUAAACUUCUUUUGUUCGGGAAUAAAGUGCAGUACGCGUACUGUUUUGUAUGUACCGUUCGAAUAAGCAUCGGCUAAUUCCGUG